rnacentral:rRNA from 1 species
AAGACGUACGGAGAGUGGGGCAACUCACUCUCAGUGGCAAACGGGUGAGUAACGCGUGAAUAACCUGCCUUUGAGAAGGGGAUAACUGUCCGAAAGGAUAGCUAAUACCCUAUAUUGCCUUUUGUCACUAAGGCAAAAGGUGAAAGCGAGGCUGUCAAAGGCUUCGGCUCAAAGAGGGGUUCGCGUCCUAUCAGGUAGUUGGUGGGGUAAUGGCCUACCAAGCCAAUGACGGGUAGCUGGUCUUAGAGGAUGAUCAGCCACAGUGGGACUGAGACACGGCCCGCACCCCUACGGGGGGCAGCAGUGGGGAAUCGUGGGCAAUGGACGAUAGCCUGACCCCGCAAUGCCGCGUGAGGGAAGAAGCCCUUCGGGGUGUAAACCUCUGUCAGAUGGGAAGAU